UUAAGGCCGCACGGGACGACGUGUAAUUUUUCCUAUCUUCCCUCUCUUUCUAGCAAUUUGCCUCGCGAUUUUGAAGAAGCAAAUAUCAAUUUCCACUGCACUGACGUAGCUGAAACUUUAGUCGAUUGUGCACCACAAGUGAGCAAAUGAACGAUCAAAUUUCUAGUCAAUAAUAUGAAGUAGAAGUUGAGAUUUGCAUCUUACUAGCAACAGAGCAAUGGCGGACGAUUUAACCACCGUCCCGUCCGGCCUUAAGCCAGGGUGAAGAAAUUGGCCCUUAGGGUCGAUUUAUUCACCUCGGCUUAACCGGUAAGCCAGGCUUACCCAUAUAAUUAUAAUUGUAAUUUAGAUUUAUUAUUAACGAUAACCGUUUAGUGUACCUACCUUGAUACCUUGUUGGCUACAAAGUAACUUUACUCCAAUGCCGAGCGUAUAGUAGAGCACCAUCUUCGUCGGUCUUGGGCGAUGUUCCUCCAGUUUCCCCGAACGUGUAGGGAUCGUAGAUCUUCUUCAACCGCGUGCAGCCAGCGAGUUCGCGGCCACCCACGAAGUCGCCUACCUCUACCGGGUUCUCUGCUGAAUAUUGUUUUCGCUAUUCUUUCUUCCGACAUUCGCACUACGUGUCCAGCCCACUGAAGUCUGCCGUAUUUUAUACGUUUCACAAUAUUCGCAUCUUCGUACACUUGGUACAACUCGUGAUUCAUGCGUCUGCGCCACACUCCAUUUUCUUGUUUCCCACCGAGAAUUGUCCGCAACACUUUGCGCUCAAAAACUCCAAAAGCUUUUCGGUCUACCUCCUUUAACGUCCACGCUUCGUGACCGUAGAGGGCAACCGGAAGAAUCAGCGUCUUAUACAGAGCGAAUUUUGUUUGCGUUUGCAAGUUACGGGACCUAAGCUGGCUACGCAAUCCGUAAAAGGCCCUAUUCGCAGCUGCAAUACGCCUUUUCACUUCACGGGAAACGUCAUUGUCACAUACCGUUUAGUGUAUACACUUUGAAUCGGGUCAAGGAAACAGUUGAGCCUGGUUUAACGCUUAAGCCAGGGUGAAGAAAUCGGCCAUUAAUACCUUUGUUUUGAUGGUUAAAUAAACAAAACCAUUCAAUUUUCUGUGGAUAGAAUGACAGUUCAUUCGAUAAAAUGACAGUUCGCCCCGAACAAAAAAAAUCCCCACACAAACUAUAAAUGCAUUUUUAAAACAGUUCCCGGGCACUGAAAGUUAUGAAAUUUUGAAUUUCGACUAAUUUGAGGGCGGAGAUUCCGUUUAAUAAAAUAUGUAAUCUGGAUGCCCCUAAAGAACCCAAUUUCUGGGAGAAUCAUGGAAGGAAAUCCUAGAAAAAAAAUCCCAAAGCAAUCGGAUGAAAUUUCUAGAGAAAAAGUCGGUAGGAAUUCCAGCAGGAAUUUCGUAAGGCAUUGCUAGAUGAACGUCAGAAGGAACUCCUCCACACGAAAAAUAAUUUAAUGUUAUUUUUUAUGAAUAUUGAUCAAUAUUUUUUAUUAGAUUCGCCAUUAUUGCUUUUAUUACAAGAACCUGAUAGUAGCUAUAACAUUUCCUUAUACCAUGUAUAAGUUUUGUGUUAUGGCUAGAAAAGUAUAAGUUUCAACUAAUACAUUUUCUAAGGUUCUGUUUUGAAUGAUUUCCCCUCUCGAACAGAACGACGCCAUUGUUUUUUUUGCAAUAAAAGCCAUCGUGGCACGUUCUAUUUCGGUGCCAACGAAAUAAAAAGCAAUUGAGAGACAGAGCUUGCGAUCACGGUUCAAGUCGUCGUAACCAACGUCACAGCCAGAGUUCCGACAGAUUCCUUCGCUGCACCUUCCGGCUAACAGUGCUUGGGGCGAUGCCACCCGAUUCUUCGCGGCCGGAACGGAGAUCACGGCUGACGCCGCUGCUCCUCGGCACUCUAGAUAACUUUGGGCACUGCAACCCGCUUGUUUGCUGCCGGAGCGGAGAUUCCGGCUGGCUCAGCUGCGCCUCCGCCUUGGCCUCGACGUUCCAACUGGAAAAGGCUGCCGAGACUCUGGCUUCCUGGAGGCAUUAUUUAUCAACCGCUUGUUCACUGCUGGAGAGAUUAUGGCUGAAUCCGCUGCUUCUCGAAGUCCCGAUGUCCCGGCUGAGGAAAGACGGUGCCGGAAAUGCGAUGCUGGCAGGUAUUAAUGUGCGUGAAAAUACGCGUUUAUGUGUUUGUGUCUGUUUUCAACGAGGUUUCGAGUUGAUCAAUGUAUCAACAAAAAUAUCUGUUUUUUUGUUGAUUUGAAUAAAUACAAUAAUUAUGUUCAAAUUGUAAAUAGAGCUUUAUUUUUGAAAAUGUUUAAAAAAAAAACAAGAAAAAUAUACGGCAAUUAUUAUUAUUUAA